rnacentral:rRNA from 2 species
AUUUAAUUGGAGAGUUUGAUCCUGGCUCAGAAUGAACGCUGGCGGCGUGCUUAACACAUGCAAGUCGUACGAGAAAUCUUCAGCUUGCUGAAGAGAGUAAAGUGGCGCACGGGUGAGUAACGCGUGGGUAAUCUACCCUUGAAUCGGGGAUAACGUUGCGAAAGCGACGCUAAUACCGGAUAACAUCAUAAAGGUUUCGGCCUUAAUGAUCAAAGAUGACCUCUACAUGUAAGUUGUUGUUUGAGGAGGAGCCCGCGUACCAUUAGCUUGUUGGUAGGGUAAUGGCCUACCAAGGCCGCGAUGGUUAGCUGGUCUGAGAGGAUGAUCAGCCACACUGGAACUGACACACGGUCCAGACUCCUACGGGAGGCAGCAGUGAGGAAUUUUGCGCAAUGG